AUUAUAUAUGACGGCGCAUCAAGAGAAUUGGCUUGAUGACGCUAGUGUCGUCUGUUCGAUUUCUGAACGAAACGUUAGACCUGUCAAAGUGACGUAACACCGAGCGCUGGGGUGGCGGCCAUGCUGAUUGGGACUGACAGUUGGGAUUUGAAGGUCGCCAUGUUGCGCUCGCGCCUCACGUGCUACGGUGGAACGCCAUAUUAAUUCUAAUCGUAAUUAAUCUCAUCAAAUACUGUGUUACAAGUGUAAUUUAAUACUGAAGUUGAUUAUACGUUGAAAAGCUAUUCGGAACAACUUUUAUUUCGACGAACCUGGUCUCCUCGCCCGAAUACCCACCAAAAAUGGAUUCCGUGAAUAAAGGUGUACGGAACGAUCACAAUUAUGUGUCUUUAUCAGAAGUGGGAUGCCGAGGGCCUGAUAUUCAGGGGACCAAUAACGUAACCGUCGACCCCCCAAGGACGGACAACGGAAGUGCAAAUUUUUUUGGCAACAUGGAAACACUUUUAUCUCGCCUACUCGCGGCAACACAGAAUACACCUUCAGUCCAUGCUCAGGCAAAGUUUGUCAAGUUUGACCCGGACGAAACCGACGCAGACAUACAAGGUUGGUGCAACGUGACCGAAUUCGUAGUUAAUAGCCGUAAUCUGGCCGGGCCUGAGCUACUGCUUGCUCUUACACAUGCUCUAAAGGGACGCGCCGCUAAAUGCCUCACCUCACUAAAGGUUGAUGACUUAACAUGGCCCCGUAUAAAAGAAACAUUGCUUGCUAGAUUUAACCGUCAGAUGCUAAUGCAGGACUAUUUUGAUGAUAUCCUUAAGUUUCAAAUAGGAAGCAAGGAAUCCGCUACGGAAGCAGCUGUGCGUCUAUGGAAUCUUAUUGAACGUGUUCCAAAGGUGGAUAUGAAUGAAGAAGUCGUCACAGGAUUUGCUAUUUCGGUUCUGUCGCAGAAAGACCCUUUAAUCCGCAGAGACUUGAACUCGCACGUGAUUUCAACAAGAGCCCAGCUUUGCAGAAUCCUGGGCGGUAUAUCACUCAAGAGACGCCACGAUGACCAUGAAACCAACGAAGUGGACUCAAAGAAGACUCGUCCAAAUAGCGCGAUGGACACGCGCUUUUCUUGCACCUGUCACUUUUGUGGAAAUCGAGGACAUAAAAUUGAAGACUGCCGCAAGCGCCGCGAUUCCAUAAAACCAAAGGAGGCCACAAAGAUACCAGACAAAGAAAAAGAGAAGAUCUGCUUCACCUGUGGAAAGCCGGGACACAUCAGCACCACUUGCCCCGACGGAAAGAAGAAACCAGCGAGUGAGACGAUUGCACGCAAGGAGGUUCACAUCUGCGAGCGGCGGUCAGCCAGAGGUACCCUGUCGACAUCGUCUGGUGAGGUUAUUUCAUUCCUUUUUGAUACAGGUGCUGCCUGCUCAUUGAUCAAAUGUAAUUUUAAAGAUAGGCUGACCGGCACAAAGCAUAACGACCCUUUCUGUCUAGUAGGAAUAAGAGAUAAUAUUAGCUGUACUGAACAAAUCAUGAGCACGGUGGUAGUUCAAGAUAUCACCCUACCCCUUCUAUUUCAUGUCGUGCCAGACCAUGUGAUGCCGGAACCAAUUAUAAUAGGCAGAGAUGUAUUAGCACUGGGUAUUUAUGCCGAAAUCGAUAGUGAUUGCCUUAGGUUCUCUAUCCGUAAAGAAGCAAAUCUGUGUAGUAGUACACGAGUCUUUGAUCUAGGCGAGAUCGAUACGGAUCUAGUAGGCGCGGAAAAAGAAGCGUUAUUAGACAUCUUGAAAAAGUAUAGCUGACUACUUGUCCCGAAACCCUCUCCCUGCUUCACCGACGACGGCUAAUGACACUUGCGAGUUUAAUAAGGGUGGAAACACUCGCUGCAAAGCGGUUAACUUUGUCGAACUUCAUGAUAGCUGGCUUCAAGUAGAACAGAAACGUGACCUCGAAAUUCAGGACCUAAUAAGUAAGCAUAUAAAUAAUCAGCUUCCAGAAGGCUUAGCUCAUACUUACGACGUACGUGAUGGAAUCCUCUACAGGAAGGUUGAACGUAAUAAGAUGAGUUCUUGGUUGCCUAUUGUCCCACUAUCACUUAUUUUGGACUCUUAUUAAUCAUGUUCACUGUGAAAUUAAACAUUUAGGAUAUGACAAAACUCUAGACAAGAUUUAUGAGCAGUACUGGUUUCCACAAAUGGCAAAAAAUGUCCGCAAGUUCGUCGAUUCGUGUAUAGUGUGCAAAGCCUCCAAAGGACCAUCAGGAGCUCAACAAGUAAGAAUGCACCCCAUCCCUAAGAUAUCGGUACCCUGGCACACUAUACACAUCGAUCUCACGGGCAAACUGCGAUCGAAAAGAAUACGCGUCAGUCAUUAUCGACAGUUUUACAAAAUACGUUUUACUCGAGUAUACUCAGUCCCUAGAUGCGGCGUGUGCCGUGAGAGCCUUGCGGAAGGCUGUCUCAUUAUUUGGAGCACCGAAAAGAGUCAUAGCUGAUCAGGGGCGGUGCUACAUUAGUUCGAGUUUUAAAGAAUUUUGCAACGAGCACAACAUUGAACUGCACCUGAUAGCGACCGGCUCUUCUCGGGCUAAUGGUCAGGUUGAGCGUAUCAUGCGCACCUUAAAAAGUCUCCUUACCAUUAUAGAAAAUGAUUCCAAUAAGGUGUGGCGAGAAGAGCUUGACAACGUGCAACUAGCACUGAACAGUACACGUUCAAGAACAACAGGAUAUACCCCAACUGAACUUAUGUUUGGCAUAAGCACCCAACCACUAGGCCUCUCUAAAACCUGUCCCAAUAUAAAGCCUCCCCAACGCGCUAACUUAAACGAAAUUCGAGAUGAAGCCGCGCGUACCUAGUAUCCAAAAAGCAGCCCUAGCUGAUGUCAAACGUUUUAAUCGUGGUAGGGCUCAAGUAAAAGCAUUUUCGAAAGGAGAUUACGUCUUUAUAAAGUGUAGUGAGCGAAAUCAAACUAAGUUAUCCAGAAAAUUUCGCGGACCCUUUGUUAUCAUGAAAGUACUAGAAAACGACAGAUAUGAGUUGAGGGCUAUCACUGGUGGUAAUCGUGUCUACAAAUAUUCGCACGAAAAUCUGCGUUUAGUGCCGAAGGGUUUUGAGGGUUUGGUUGAAAUUGCUAAUAAUUUAAUAGACAAUGAGGAGGCCGAGACGGCGGUUAAUAGGGAACAAGUAGACCAUGACGAUAGCGACAGUGAUACACUCUCGGUGUUUAGUGAUAGCACCAUGACUGCUGGCUCAAACACCCUCUCUGAUUCAGAUAACGAAGAUCGAUUAGUCAUCUUUAACAAGGAAGAGCGCGCAAAUAAAAAUGCUCCAUUGGGUGACUAAUCGCACGAGGGCGUACGACGGUCAGGGUUGGCCGUGACGGCGCAUCAAGAGAAUUGGCUUGAUGACGCUAGUGUCGUCUGUUCGAUUUCUGAACGAAACGUUAGACCUGUCAAAGUGACGUAACACCGAGCGCUGGGGUGGCGGCCAUGCUGAUUGGGACUGACAGUUGGGAUUUGAAGGUCGCCAUGUUGCGCUCGCGCCUCACGUGCUACGGUGGAACGCCAUAUUAAUUCUAAUCGUAAUUAAUCUCAUCAAAUACUGUGUUACAAGUGUAAUUUAAUACUGAAGUUGAUUAUACGUUGAAAAGCUA